ACUCAAAUGAAUUGACGGGGGCCCGCACAAGCGGUGGAGCAUGUGGUUUAAUUCGAUGCAACGCGAAGAACCUUACCUACCCUUGACAUCCCGCGAAUCUGGGUGAGAGCCCGGAGUGCCGAAAGGAAUGCGGAGACAGGUGCUGCAUGGCUGUCGUCAGCUCGUGUUGUGAGAUGUUGGGUUAAGUCCCGUAACGAGCGCAACCCUUGUUCUUAGUUACUAACGAGUUAUGUCGAGGACUCUAAGAAGACUGCCGGUGUUGAACCGGAGGAAGGCGGGGACGACGUCAAGUCAUCAUGGCCUUUAUGGGUAGGGCUACACACGUGCUACAAUGGGGCGUACAGAGAGUCGCCAACCCGCGAGGGGGAGCUAAUCUCAGAAAGCGUCUCGUAGUCCGGAUUGGAGUCUGCAACUCGACUCCAUGAAGUUGGAAUCGCUAGUAAUCGCGAAUCAGCAUUGUCGCGGUGAAUACGUUCCCGGGCCUUGUACACACCGCCCGU
rnacentral:rRNA from 1 species